UCGCCGCCCUCCACCCCAUCCAGUUCCGCGUCCGCCCCUCUACUCCCAGCUCGCAGCCCAGUGCGUGCCCUCCUCGCCUGCGUCAUCCCUGCCGUCGCUGCGUGCGGAUAAAUUGUGGUGGAGGAGGAGAACAAUCCGUCAGAGGAGGAGGGGGACAAGAACCCGGCAGAGAAAGAAGAUGACGAGAACCCGGCAUGGGAGGGCGACAAGUCGGCAGAGCAGGAGGACAUGAAUCUAGCGGGACAGAGUGAUAGUUUGUCGCGGCAAGACCUUGUUAGUCGGCUUGGUCCGGCGUGUCCGAGUUUCCUCCAUGUUGGUCUUCCGUUGCUGUGGAGUCGGAGCUGCCAUGUUCUUCAAGGGUCUUCUCUUGGGCGGCGUACAAUGACUUGCAAGGGGUGGUCCAGGUGAAGUUCUCCUUCGGCGCGGGUCUCGCGCAUCCCCUCUCUGGAGCUCGUCAUCCGAGUCGGGGCUGUUCUCCCCUGCACGAGGAGCCACAUGUUUGGCUUUGGCUGGCUUGAGCCUCGCGGUGCCGCUUCGGCAAGGUCUUCUUUGCUGGUCGCUUUUCGGGGAAGUCGGAGUCGCUCUGGAGUGUGGAGUGAUGACGAUGACGCCGGUGUGCAACCUCGAUGACGAUCUCCGCCUCGGUGGUGUUUGUGCAGCUUCGGUGGGUUGCUAGGGUGACUCUGUGUGCCUUUGCGACGGUUGUGUUCCAUGACGGUCGGCAUGGGUGUUUGUACCGGUUUUUAGCCGGUUUUCCGUUUAAUAAACCGGUUAACCAUUCUUCUCUAUUAAUGAAAAUGGCAAGUCUUGCCUCGUUUAAAAAAAAAUUGUUGUGUUGUU